GAUGAACGCUGGCGGCGUGCUUAACACAUGCAAGUCGAGCGAAGCGCUUAAGUUUGAUUCUUCGGAUGAAGACUUUUGUGACUGAGCGGCGGACGGGUGAGUAACGCGUGGGUAACCUGCCUCAUACAGGGGGAUAACAGUUAGAAAUGACUGCUAAUCCCGCAUAAGACCACGGUACCGCAUGGUACAGUGGUAAAAACUCCGGUGGUAUGAGAUGGACCCGCGUCUGAUUAGGUAGUUGGUGGGGUAACGGCCUACCAAGCCGACGAUCAGUAGCCGACCUGAGAGGGUGACCGGCCACAUUGGGACUGAGACACGGCCCAGACUCCUACGGGAGGCAGCAGUGGGGAAUAUUGCACAAUGGAGGAAACUCUGAUGCAGCGACGCCGCGUGAAGGAUGAAGUAUUUCGGUAUGUAAACUUCUAUCAGCAGGGAAGAAAAUGACG
rnacentral:rRNA from 1 species